rnacentral:rRNA from 1 species
GAUGAACGCUGGCGGCGUGCCUAAUACAUGCAAGUCGAGCGAACAGACGAGGAGCUUGCUCCUUUGACGUUAGCGGCGGACGGGUGAGUAACACGUGGAUAACCUACCUAUAAGACUGGGAUAACUUCGGGAAACCGGAGCUAAUACCGGAUAACAUGUUGAACCGCAUGGUUCAACAGUGAAAGACGGUCUUGCUGUCACUUAUAGAUGGAUCCGCGCCGCAUUAGCUAGUUGGUAAGGUAACGGCUUACCAAGGCAACGAUGCGUAGCCGACCUGAGAGGGUGAUCGGCCACACUGGAGCUGAGCCACGGUCCAGACUCCUACGGGAGGCAGCAGUAGGGAAUCUUCGGCAAUGGGGGAAAGCCUGACGGAGCAACGCGGCGUGAGUGAAGAAGGUCUUGGGAGCGGAAAACUCUGUUAUUAGGGAAGAACAAAUGUGUAAGUAACUAUGCACGUCGUGACGGUACUUAAUCAGAAAGCCACGGCUAACUACGUG